rnacentral:lncRNA from 1 species
CAUAAAUGAACAUAUCUCCCGCAGACUGCACUAUGACGACCUGACCAUCGUGAAUGAACUUCACCUUCUAAUGAAGGGAAGAAGGAAUGACCCUAACUCUGUGAAUCCAAGAUCAGCCCAAAAUUAGGUUAAAUGAUGUAAGGAUCCUCAAAACCUGGAACAAAGUAACAAAUAUGGUUGGACCUAUCAGUAGCUCAAUCUCCAGAGUGCCUAUGACCUCCCUCUAAGUGCUAUCGUAUGCUCGAACUAUGUGAAUGGAGGGACCAAAGUCAGAGGGUGCAUAGCCAAUGAUGAUGGCAGUGGCC